rnacentral:rRNA from 1 species
CUUGGUCAUUUAGAGGAAGUAAAAGUCGUAACAAGGUUUCCGUAGGUGAACCUGCGGAAGGAUCAUUACAACAAUAAUUCAACAUUGUGUCAGAGCAAUAACAUCUAAAACCGAUCAUCAAUUAAUUAAUUCAAAACUUUCAACAACGGAUCUCUAGGUUCUCGCAUCGAUGAAGAACGCAGCGAAAUGCGAUACGUAGUACGAAACGCAAGUCGUGAAUCAUCGAAUCUUUGAACGCACAUUGCGCUGUGUGGCAUUCCACACAGCAUGCCUGUUUGAGCAAUAUUUCUCUCUCGCAAGGUGUUGGGCACCACGCCGGCAGGCGUCUGCCAGAAACGAAAUUGUCUAAAACAGUUAAGCUUGUUACAGACUCUUGAUCUUAUUCUCAAAUCAGGUAGGACUACCCGCUGAACUUAAGCAUAUCAAUAAGCGGAGGA